GACGAACGCUGGCGGCGUGCUUAACACAUGCAAGUCGAACGGAAAGGCCCCUUUGGGGGUACUCGAGUGGCGAACGGGUGAGUAACACGUGAGUAACCUGCCCUUGACUUCGGGAUAACUUCAGGAAACUGGGGCUAAUACCGGCUAGGAAUCCUUGCUGCAUGGUGGGGGUUGGAAGGCUUCGGCGGUUUUGGAUGGACUCGCGGCUUAUCAGCUUGUUGGUGGGGUAGUGGCUUACCAGGGCGUGGACGGGUAGCCGGCCUGAGAGGGCGACCGGCCACAUUGAGUCUGAGGGAAGGCCCAGGCGCCGAAGGGAGGAAGAAGGGGGGAAGCUUGAACAAUGGGCGGAGGGCGGGUGAAGCAGCGCCGCGGGUGGGAAGACGGCCUUCGGGUGGAAAAACGCUAGCAGGAGGGGCGAAGCCUGUGGUGACGGUACCUGCAGAAGAAGCACCGGCUAACUACGUG
rnacentral:rRNA from 1 species